GACUCGAUAGCGGAUGGUCCGCACCUGCUCUCGUUCCAGGAUUGCUUCUUCAAGUUAAUGAAGCAGGAAGCCGGUUCGAUUCCGGCUCGGGUCU